rnacentral:piRNA from 1 species
GCUGAAAGGAAGGACUAUGGAGCG